UUAGAAUUGUGAGGCCAUUUUGGAAACAGCUGCCAAGUUGCUAAUGCUAUUAAAAAUAGCUCUUGCUCCCUAAUAAAUGAAUUGCUUAUUUUAAGAAGACAAGAGUGGCUUGAAUCUGUCCUGCUUGCGUUUUUCAUCUCCUGGGCACAGUGCCAGUGGAUUCAAGAAGGUCUGCUGUCAGAUGGGAAUGCCAUCUGCAGAGAUGAGGCCGUGCCUAUCUAUGCAGGAGCCAGCAUUUUUGGGCCCGGGCUAAGGGAGUUAUUGAACUGAAUGAUUACGAUGUAUCUGGUUUUCCAAGCAGCAAGAACAGCAAAUGUAAAGGCCCCGAGGCAGGCCACCCUGCCAUGGAACCAGCUGAUUAUGGACUGAAACCUCUUGUACUGUAAGCUAAAUAAAUCUUUUCUUCCUUAA